rnacentral:rRNA from 1 species
GACGAACGCUGGCGGCGUGCUUAACACAUGCAAGUUGAACGGAAAGGCCCUGCUUUUGUGGGGUGCUCGAGUGGCGAACGGGUGAGUAACACGUGAGUAACCUGCCCUUGACUUUGGGAUAACUUCAGGAAACUGGGGCUAAUACCGGAUAGGAGCUCCUGCUGCAUGGUGGGGGUUGGAAAGUUUCGGCGGUUGGGGAUGGACUCGCGGCUUAUCAGCUUGUUGGUGGGGUAGUGGCUUACCAAGGUUUUGACGGGUAGCCGGCCUGAGAGGGUGACCGGCCACAUUGGGACUGAGAUACGGCCCAGACUCCUACGGGAGGCAGCAGUGGGGAAUAUUGCACAAUGGGCGGAAGCCUGAUGCAGCAACGCCGCGUGCGGGAUGACGGCCUUCGGGUUGUAAACCGCUUUCGCCUGUGACGAAGCGUGAGUGACGGUAAUGGGUAAAGAAGCACCGGCUAACUACGUG